rnacentral:rRNA from 1 species
GACGAACGCUGGCGGCGUGCUUAACACAUGCAAGUCGAACGGAAAGGCCCUGCUUUUGUGGGGUGCUCGAGUGGCGAACGGGUGAGUAACACGUGAGUAACCUGCCCUUGACUUUGGGAUAACUUCAGGAAACUGGGGCUAAUACCGGAUAGGAGCUCCUGCUGCAUGGUGGGGGUUGGAAAGUUUCGGCGGUUGGGGAUGGACUCGCGGCUUAUCAGCUUGUUGGGGGGGUAGUGGCUUACCAAGGCUUUGACGGGUAGCCGGCCUGAGAGGGUGACCGGCCACCUUGGGACUGAGAGACGGCCCAGACUCCUACGGGAGGCAGCAGUGGGGAAUAUUGCACAAUGGGCGGAAGCCUGAUGCAGCAACGCCGCGUGCGGGAUGACGGCCUUCGGGUUGUAAACCGCUUUCGCCUGUGACGAAGCGUGAGUGACGGUAAUGGGUAAAGAAGCACCGGCUAACUACGUG